AAACGACUCUCGGCAACGGAUAUCCCGGCUCUCGCAUCGAUGAAGAACGUAGCGAAAUGCGAUACUUGGUGUGAAUUGCAGAAUCCCAUGAACCAUCGAGUUUUUGAACGCAAGUUGCGCCCGAUGCCAUUAGGCUGAGGGCACGUCUGCCUGGGUGUCACGU
rnacentral:rRNA from 1 species